GAUAAAACCACCAACUUGAUUGCACAUGUGAUAAUACAAUAAAAUUAAACAACAAAUAGUAGCUAUCACUAUUGUGAUGAUUAUCAAGAUAGCCUACUAGCAGGCUGCUCCUGAUAAACUGAUUGCACACCAGGACCUGGCUUCUUGUGUGGGUGAUGGAAUUGCAGGAUGGCUGGUUUGGAAACUCUGCUGUUGUUUACAAAACUUCCCUCUUAUCUCUGCUAGUCAUUGGAGAAGCUUUCCUUCUGUAUUGGUCCUAAGAAGUAAGGGAUGUACAGUGCACUGCAUAACAGGCAUCCAUUCUCAGGACAUUGGAGCUGAUCCCCUCGUUUUCUCAUCAGGCUCACAUCCAACCCUCAUAACAAAAGGUAAGGAAAUGGUUGUAUGUGAAAGAUGGAGAUACGAAGAAGCCAGCCUAGGAGAAAUUGAGCUGUAUUCAGAAGACUCAGGCCACAUGCAGGAGUGAGCAGCAAGUACAUCCCAUCCACAGAGUAUUUGGGAAGUCUAGGAACAAUUUUAAUGAAAUCACAAUAGCAUCUAAGCUCAUAAAUACACUCCUGGCAACAAAUCCUUACUUCCUAAAUGGAAAUGAGCUAAUGGAUGAGUUUGAAGAGGUUCAGCCAUUUGUGUUUGGCAUGAGAAAAGAGCAAAAAGGAAUAGUCUUCUCACCUUCUUUACAGAUUAUUUUCUGUGUUUAAAGUGACAAUGAAAAUAAGGAAAAACAGAGCUAUUCGUUACCAUUUUUAAAAGCAAGUCAAGAACCCGAGCCCUGCAGUGAACAAGUUCUC